AGGGUAGUAGCGCAGUCGGUAGCGCGCGGCAUUUGGGAUGCUAAGGUCGUCGGUUCGAGCCCGGCUCACCCUA
rnacentral:tRNA from 1 species